rnacentral:rRNA from 1 species
UAAAGCGAAUAAGGGCACAUGGUGGAUGCCUUGGGUCUGAGAGGCGAAGAAGGACGUGGUAAGCUGCGAUAAGGCAGGGGGAGUUGCACACAAGCGUUAUAUCCCUGCAUUUCCGAAUGGGACAACCCGGUACUUUGAAGAAGUAUCACUCGAAAGAGAGCCAACCUCCUGAACUGAAACAUCUAAGUAGGGAGAGGAAAAGAAAAUAAUAAUGAUUCCCAGAGUAGUGGCGAGCGAAAAGGGAAGAGCCCAAACCAGAGGAGCGUGCUCCUCUGGGGUUGUAGGACUGCAUUUAGAAAGACACAUCAAGAUGAACACUUUGGAAAGAGUGGCCAUAGCAGGUGAUAGCCCUGUAGUUGCAAAUUGUGUUGGACGAGCAGUAUCCUGAGUAGCGCGGAACCGGAGGAAUUCUGCGUGAAACUGCCAGCACCAUCUGGUAAGGCUAAAUACUCCUCAGACACCGAUAGUGAACCAGUACCGUAAGGGAAAGGUGAAAAGCACCCUGAAUAAGGGAGUGAAAUAGUACCUGAAACCGUGUGCCUACAAGCGGUCGGAGCCAGCAAUGGUGACGGCGUGCCUUUUGCAUAAUGAGCCUACGAGUUACUCCUCACUGGCGAGGUUAAGUUCUUCAGGAACGGAGCCGCAGCGAAAGCGAGUCCGAAUAGGGCGACUCAGUCAGUGGGGGUAGACGCGAAACUUUGUGAUCUAUCCAUGGGCAGGUUGAAGUAACGGUAAAGCGUUAUGGAGGACCGAACCCGUUGACGUUGAAAAGUCUUGGGAUGACCUGUGGAUAGGGGUGAAAGGCCAAUCAAACUGAGAGAUAGCUCGUUCUCCCCGAAAUGUUUUUAGGAACAGCGUCACAUAUAGAAGUUUAUUAGAGGUAGAGCUACUGAUUGGGCUAGGGGGCUUCACCGCCUACCAAACCCUGACAAACUCCGAAUGCUAAUAAAUAUCUGUGGCAGUGAGGCUGCGGGCGCUAAGGUCCGUGGCCGAGAGGGAAAUAACCCAGAUUAGCAACUAAGGUCCCUAAUACGUAGUUAAGUUGAACAAACGAGGUGGAGUUUCUAUAACAGCCAGGAUGUUUGCUUGGAAGCAGCAAUUCAUUUAAAGAGUGCGUAACAGCUCACUGGUCGAGAGACUCUGCACGGAAAAUGAUCGGGCAUCAAACUACGAACCGAAGUUCCUAAACUAGCAGUAAUGCUAUUGGUAGGGGAGCAUUCUAAACAGCACUGAAGGUGCACGGCGACGUGUGCUGGAGCGUUUAGAAAAGAAAAUGUAGGCAUAAGUAACGAUAAAAUAAGUGAAAAACUUAUUCGCCGUAAGACUAAGGGUUCCCGAUCAACGCUAAUCGGAUCAGGGGUUAGUCGGGUCCUUAGGCAAACCCGAAAGGGGUAGCUGAUGGCAAGCUGGUUAAUAUUCCAGUACCUGCUAUGCAAUGAAAGUGACGCAUCGACGUGGUCUGUACGAACUGACGGAAUAGUUCGGCUGAGUGGAACCUUCGGGGGAAGCGAACGGAUAAAAUUGGUGCCAAGAAAAGCGAGUAUAGCAGCCCGUACCGUAAACCGACACAGGUAGUCGAGAUGAGUAUUCUAAGGCGCUCGGGUGAGCCGUGGAGAAGGAACUAGGCAAAUUGACGCUGUAACUUCGGGAUAAGGCGUACCCACUUUGGUGGGUCUCAGUAAAUUGGUUCAACCAACUGUUUAACAAAAACACAGGGCCCUGCAAAAUCGCAAGAUGACGUAUAGAGCCUGAUACCUGCCCGGUGCUGGAAGGUUAAGGAAGGAUGUUCGGAGUAAUCCAAAGCUUCUGACUGAAGCCCCAGUAAACGGCGGCCGUAACUAUAACGGUCCUAAGGUAGCGAAAUUCCUUGUCGGGUAAGUUCCGACCUGCACGAAUGGUCUAAUGAGUUGAACACUGUCUCCUCCACGAGCCCGGUGAAAUUGUAGUAUCGGUGAAGAUGCCGGUUACCCGCCACGGGACGGAAAGACCCCGUGAACCUUCACUACAACUUUGCAUUGAUUUUGAGCAACCGAUGUGUAGGAUAGUUGGGAGACUAUGAAGUGGCUUCGCCAGGAGUCAUGGAGUCAACGUUGAAAUACCAACCUUCGUUUGCUUAGAACCUAAUCCCUAACGGGAGACAGUGCAUGGUGGGUAGUUUGACUGGGGUGGUCGCCUCCUAAAAUGUAACGGAGGCUUGCAAAGGUUCCCUCAGUACGGUUGGUAAUCGUACGCAGAGCGCAUUAGUAUAAGGGAGCUUGACUGUGAGGCAAACAGGCCGAGCAGGGACGAAAGUCGGCUAAAGCGAUCCGGCGGUUCUGAAUGGAAGGGCCGUCGCUCAAAGGAUAAAAGGUACUCCGGGGAUAACAGGCUGAUCUCCCCCAAGAGCUCAUAUCGACGGGGAGGUUUGGCACCUCGAUGUCGGUUCGUCACAUCCUGGGGCUGGAGAAGGUCCCAAGGGUUCGGCUGUUCGCCGAUUAAAGUGGCACGUGAACUGGGUUCAGAACGUCGCAAGACAGUUCGGUCCCUAUCUGUGGUGGGCGCUAGUAAAUUGAGAGGACGUGACCUUAGUACGAGAGGACCGGGUCGCAUGUACCGCUGGUGUAUCUGUUAUGCCGCCAGGUGUAAUGCAGAGUAGCUAUGUACAGCCAGGAUAAACGCUGAAAGCAUCUAAGCGUGAAACCUUCCUCAAGAUGAGUUUACUUUUAAGGGUCGUAGAAGACUACUACGUUGAUAGGCUGCAGGUGUAAAGGUGGUAACAUCAAAGCCGAGCAGUACUAAUUGCCCGUAAGCUUUAAUUUU